rnacentral:tRNA from 1 species
UGGCUCGUCGUCCAACGGCAGGACUCUGGCUUUUGGUGCCAGCUAUCGGGGUUCGAAUCCCUGCGAGCCAGCCA